UCAUGCAAGUCGAGCGAGAAGGUGUAGCAAUACACUUGUAAAGCGGCGAACGGGUGAGGAAUACAUGGGUAAUCUACCAUCGAGUGGGGAAUAACCAGCCGAAAGGUUGGCUAAUACCGCGUACGCCUCCGGAUCUUCGGGUUCGGAGGGAAAGCCACACUGUGAGUGCGGCGCUCUUUGAUGAGCUCAUGUCCUAUCAGCUUGUUGGUAGGGUAACGGCCUACCAAGGCUUUGACGGGUAGCUGGUCUGAGAGGACGAUCAGCCACACUGGCACUGCGACACGGGCCAGACUCCUACGGGAGGCAGCAGUAAGGAAUAUUGCGCAAUGGGCGAAAGCCUGACGCAGCGACGCCGCGUGGGGGAUGAAGGUCUUCGGAUUGUAAACCCCUUUCGGGAGGCGAAGAUGGAGCGAGCAAUCGUUCGGACGGUACCUCCAGAAGCAGCCACGCCCAACUUCGUGCCAGCAGCCGCGGUAAUACGAAGGUGGCAAGCGUUGUUCGGAUUCACUGGGCGUACAGGGUGUGUAGGCGGUUUGGUAAGCCUUCUGUUAAAGCUUCGGGCCCAACCCGGAAAGCGCAGAGGGUACUGCCAGGCUAGAGGGUGGGAGAGGAGCGCGGAAUUCCCGGUGUAGCGGUGAAAUGCGUAGAGAUCGGGAGGAAAGGCCGGUGGCGAAGGCGGCGCUCUGGAACAUACCUGACGCUGAGACACGAAAGCGUGGGGAGCAAACAGGAUUAGAUACCCUGAUAGUCCACGCCCUAAACUAUGGAUACUAAGUGUCGGCGGGUUACCGCCAGUGCCGCAGCUAACGCAUUAAGUAUCCCGCCUGGGAGUACGCGGCAGUGGAAACUCAAGAUGACGGGGCCCGCACAAGCGUGAGCAUGUGUUUAUCGACGCACGCGAAAACCUACCAGUG
rnacentral:rRNA from 1 species